GACGAACGCUGGCGGCGUGCUUAACACAUGCAAGUCGAACGGAAAGGCCCUGCUUUUUUGGGGUGCUCGGAUGGCGAACGGGUGAGUAACACGUGAGUAACCUGCCCUUGACUUUGGGAUAACUUCAUGACACUGGGGCUAAUACCGGAUAGGAGCUCCUGCUGCAUGGUGGGGGUUGGAAAGUUUCGGCGGUUGGGGAUGGAAUCGCGCCGUAUCAGCUUGUUGGUGGGGUAGUGGCUUACCAAGGCUUUGAGCGGUUGAGGUGCUGGGAGGGGAAACUGACAAGCUAGAUUGGGAAUGAGACACAGCCCACACUCCGACGGAAGGGAGCAGAGUGGAAUCUUGCGGGAUGGGGGAUAGCCUAACGCAGCCAUGCGGGGGGAAUGAGGCAGCUGGUUGGAUAGCGAUAUUCUCUGUGACGAGACGUUAGUGACGGUACCGGGUGAAGAAGCCCCGGCUAACUACGUG
rnacentral:rRNA from 1 species